rnacentral:tRNA from 3 species
AAGAUUUUAAGUUAAAUAAACUGUAAGCCUUCAAAGCUUAAAAUAAAAAAUGAUUUUUAAAUCUUG